AGGGGCUCUCACACAGAAACGUCACUGCUCAUCUGUUUGCAAAUGUUCAACAGUCGGUGUUCCCUAAAACAAGGAAAUUCUCCCGCUGUUCUCUCAAACCCAGAAAAUCAAAUUUGCGACAAAACCAUGGCAACACGCAGCGAAAAUGAAAAUUCAAUCGUGGUCACACCAGACCAGAUUAUGCCACCUAUCAACAGGUGCUUCGAAAGGCUCUCUGAAAGUCAAUUGAGCAUGAUAGAAAGUAGUGCAUGCGACUCGGACGCCCAAGCGGCGCUCGCUGAUAUGAUUUGUGAAAUCAUUCAGAUCGCCUCUACCGGAAUCCUGAAAAAUGCCCUUCCUGUUAUCCAGGAUCGCAAGACGAGGGAAGAUUCGGAGCCUUUAGAUGUGGGGAAAAUAAGCCCGUCCCUCGGAGACUCGAUCUCAGCCGCCAUCGCCAGCGCUCUUGACGUCCCGAAACAGCGACAUGAGAGCGCUGACGAGCUGACACGGAUGGUUGAGGAAGAGAUCUCCGAAAAGAAACUUCCUCUAGAUCCGCCCCUGGACCUGCUGCCUCACAGAUUACACCUCAGGCUCAUCUGUCAGUCUCCCCACACUGGACCAGCUCACUGAUACCUGAGGAAGCAGCCAUCACUUCAUCAAUGUUCGCCAACCGUGCAAACGGGCGCGCAGCAACCGGUAUGGCGCCAAAGUACUUACCCCCGACAGAGCCUGUCCCCCUGUCCCAAUCAUGGACAAACAGUAUUCCCACAUUCUUGAAAUGUGUUUUACAAGAAUAAAACAGACGUUUUCUCCAGUG
ensembl:lncRNA